rnacentral:lncRNA from 1 species
AUGAUAGCAUGGAGACACUCCAAGGAGCCUCUCUCCACCAUCUUCAUCCCUGAACAUCCAUCUCCUUGUGGGUUGCAAACACGAACAGGCCAAGUGGUGGUGCCCCUGUCAGUCACUCACCGCUCUCUGGAGCUGAAGAUCAAGCCUCGCUUCGUUUGCUUUGUCAUCUACAUUUUUGUGCAGACAAGUUUUGAACAGGCUCUGUGGCGUUCACUCCAGUCCCAGCCAUUCCUGGGGAUGAAUAGACAUUUGAUGAAGCCUGGAAGGACAGUUGAAACAUUUCAUCUGACGGACCUCAACUUUUCCUGA